GCCAGGCAUGGUGGCGCAUGCCUGUAAUCCCAGCUACUUGGGAGGCUGAGGCAGAAGAAUCGCUUGAACCCGGGAGGUGAAGGUUGCAGUGAGCCGAGAUCGCACCACUGACUCCAGCCUGGGUGACAGAGUGAAACUCUGUCUCAA
rnacentral:SRP_RNA from 1 species